AAAUAAAAAACUAAAUGUAAAAUUGUUGAUGCGUCAUAGAAACGAACACAAAAACCCGCGGUAGCGGCAACGUCAGCGGCAACGAUGUCUAAACGAACAUAAACCUGCGGCGGCGGCAGCGGCAACCGCAGCGUCUGCGGCGACGAAACGAACAACAACCUGCGGUAGUGUUUGCCGCCGCCGCUGCCGCUGUCGCUGCCGCAACCGCAAGCGGUAACCAAACGAACAGGCUAAACAUAUAUAUUAUAUUAUUAUUAAUCCAACAUUAAUCCAGUUUGCGUAGGUGUGUGACGUUGUAGGUUUGUACAAUAUUAGCAAUGAGUUCUGACUCAUAGAUUAUAAGCGGGUUCUAGCAAAACAUUUAACCACCUAAUAUUAUACAAAUGUCAAACCUCGAUAU
rnacentral:sRNA from 1 species